UACGUAGGGGGCAAGCGUUGUCCGGAUUUAUUGGGCGUAAAGAGCGUGUAGGCGGCCAUGCAGGUCAGCUGUGAAAACUCGAGGCUCAACCUCGAGACGUCGGUUGAAACCGUUUGGCUAGAGUCCGGAAGAGGAGAGUGGAAUUCCCGGUGUAGCGGUGAAAUGCGCAGAUAUCGGGAAGAACACCCGUGGCGAAGGCGGCUCUCUGGGACGGUACUGACGCUGAGACGCGAAAGCGUGGGGAGCGAACAGG
rnacentral:rRNA from 1 species